AUGACGACGGCGGUGGCCUUCUCUCGGUCGGGUGGGGAGCAAAGCUUGCGGUGGCCCUCGACGCCCGCGACGGGCUGCAGCACCCAGACUUCAAAGGCAGGCCAUCACAAUGGAAAUGGAAGGAUGAGCACCAUGGCGGGCGUGCAGGCACGGUUUACACAAACACAUCCUGUUUCAAUGGCUCAAACUGUUGGUCCUCCCAUGGCAAUGUUCCCUGCUGGUGUUCAUGGAGUUAGUCAGCAACUUUUUUAUGAUCUGAGAAAGAAGAGAAGAAGAAUCCUGAGGAAGAUUUUGGUGAAGAACAAGAUGGCUAAUCAAAUGAUGUCUCUUCACAAAACAUUGAAGAUACAUAAUGCGCUCUGGCAUGCACAUACUUGUUUCACCGCAACCCCCACAAAAGGAGCAGCCUGGUGA
rnacentral:rRNA from 1 species